rnacentral:lncRNA from 1 species
GACAGAGCACCGUGCCGAAAGUACAGCAGUCUGCACAGCUGGAGAGCAGCAGUGUCUCCCUGUGUCCUAGAAGAACGUGCUCGCUGCAUGGGGACGUUUACUGCUCAGAGCGUCUCUGAAAACGCCAGUGUUUCUUGCCACCCUUCAGGCUCUUCUGAUCCUGGCUGAGCCCUGCCGGUCAAGAUUUCAUGGAGCUUAAUGGUCUGGGAGCUGCAUUUGUCCUACAAAGUUGUUCUACUUCUGAAGGUGUUCGGUGAGAUCCUAUUCUGACAAGUUUUAGCUGGAACUCAUGAAGAGUUCAUCUUGCUGAAAUCCCUUAUGCAGAGAAAUGCCUCAAAGGACUCAAUCUAUAAGGUGGGAAGAAAAACUGGCUGCAAAAAUGAGAUGGUUCUGAAGGUGCUGGCAAAAGAGAGCAUAAAAUGCUGCCUCCGGACAGGUGGAGGGUGGCAAACUACCAGCUGUGUCCCUCAUGUGACUAGAAUCUUGCAAAAUAGCAUUCCAGCCUCCAAGGGCAACUAUGUGAUGUGAUAUACUGGGACUCGUGCUCUGUCUAUGGACCUCUGGAAGAGCGAUUAGAAGAGUUGCUUUCCUAUGGUUUCUGAACUAAGAUCUCCAAUGAAGUCUGUAACUGCUGGUAUGUGAGCUCUCAGCUUGACAGUGCUGUUUCUUGCUUACUUACACAGCCGUCAGUGCUCAUACCCAAAAUCUCUGUUCUUUGGGCUUGCCGCUUGUAUAUAAUUUCAUAAAGGGUACAAUGCUUCUGCAAUCAGAAAGAAGAGACUAUUGAUUUUUUUAUGAUUCUCUCUUCAUUGUAAAUUAAUCCAACCCAUCUUUCUUAGACAUAAGUGGUGAUCUGCCUUAAAAAAUACAAAUGUGUUUUGAUUAUGAAGUACUCAAAAGUUGCCCCAGUGUUCAUGAGCUGCCUAGCAUUAGUGGACGCAUGCAGCAAUGGGUGAAAGUCCUAUCUCAGGUGGAACUUCUCCCUUUGGCUUAAAUUCCAGAAUGCAUCAGAAACCCCUCAUCUGCUGUGUUUAACAUAGUCUUGUCAACAGGAAGUCUGAGAACUGUUUGAAUUUGUCCUGUUUUGAUGUGGCAGCUCUGCAUAUGUGAUGAUUUCAGACAAGAAAGCUGGAUAUGUAAUAAAUGCCAUAAGGGCAGUAAGGCUCUGAUCCUU